UGCGCCCGCCGUCAGCUUGCCGACCCCUAGUAGGGGCCUUUAGCCCCCAAGUGAACAUUUUGUUGGCUAAGUCACCGCGAUGGAAGCGUCGCGGUGGGUAGUAUCCUUAGCAGAAAACAUAAAUACACGACGGGGUAUUGUAAGUGGAAGAGUAGCCUUGCUGCCACGAUCCACUGAGAUACAACCCUUUGUCACUUUGAUUCAUCCUCCCCACCUUCCCCCUCCCCCAACCUCAAAUCAAAUUAUUUCUAACAUUUCAUAUGAGAGGUUUAUGUCAGGCUUGCAUACUUGGAAGGAAAAAAACCACUAACUGUUGAAAUAUAAGUUCUGAGAAUAACAUGAUCCAUGAAAUUUACUACUUUACUGCUAUGUGUUGAACUAUACGUUCUAUGCUGAUCAAACACUUGUUCAAUAACGAUGACCCUAUUGCGAGGUUUUCGUGACGUUGGGUUUAUUCUCAUGUCUAAUGACAUUUUAAGGGACUAAUAACGAUGUCUCUAUAAGAGGUUUUUCGCGAUGUCUGGGGUGAUUCUAAUUCCAAGUAAGAUGUCAAGGGGAAUAUAUGUCUAUGUAGGCAGAACGGGCAUUCCAUGUCUGGGGACAGGCGAGAUCAGCAAAACUCUGUACGCAUCGGACAGGCGACGUAGGCCAACGACAUGCGACAUCAGUCCAUGCCAACAGGCAUCGGAAGCAGCAUGUGCGUAUCGGUCAAGCAACGUCGGCCAACGCCAGAUAGCAUCAGCCAAGGCCUGCAUGCAUCAGACGUGUCAUGUGCGCAUCAUCCAAGAAACGUCGGUCAGCGGCAAAACCUUGGGAAUGAGCCUGUGCGGAGCAGCCGUUAAGUGUAGAUCUUUGUGGUAGUAGAAAAUAUUCAAAUGAGAACUUUGAAGGCCGAAAAGGGGAAAGGUUCAAUGUGAACGGCACCAGCACAUGGGUUAGUCAAUCGUAUGGGUCGGGGGUACCCCGACAGAUAGCGCAUUUCGCGUGUACUCCGUAAUGGAAUGGGUUAAAAUUCCUGAACCAGAACGUGGAGGUUAACGACAAUGUUAGGAAGUCGGCAAACGUUGGUGGGAGCUUCGGGAAGAGUUGUCUUUUCUAUUUAACAGCAUGCCCACCAUGGAAUCGGCUAGCCGGAGGUAGAGUCCAGCGGCUGGAAGAGCACCUCACGUCACGUGGUGUCUGGUGCGCUCCCGGCGAUCCUUGAAAAUCCAGAGGACCUAAUGCCGUCGACACUCGGUCAUACUCAUAACUGCAUCAGGUCUCCAAGGUGAACAACCUCUGGUUGUUGGAACAAUGUAGGCAAGGAAAGUCGGAAAAUGGAUCCGUAACUUCUUGAAAAGAAAUAUUCUCGGAGUGUUUGGCAUGGGGGUCCUAGUACCGAACCCACUGGCUGUCGAUGAACUGCUUGAGCUGACCCUGCGGAAAUAGUGGGUCGCCUUGGGACGGACUGGGAACGGUUCCUUCGGGGGCCUUCCCCGAGAGUCAAACAACCAACUCAUAAUUGUUACAAACAAGGAGAAUUUGACUAUUUAUUUAAAACAAAGCAUUGCGAUGGUCCCAACGGAUGUUUACCCACUGUGAUUUUUGUCUAGUGCUAUGAAUGUCAAAGUGAAGAAAUUCAACUAUGCGGGGGUAAACGGUAGGAGUAACUAUGACUCUCUUAAGGUAGCCAAAUGCCUCUUCAUCUAAUUAGUGAUGCGUAUGAAUGUAUUAAUAAGAUUCCCACUGUCCCUGUCUAAUAUACAGCGAAACCACAGCCAAGGGAACAUGUUUGGCAGAAUCAGCGUGGAAAGAAGACCCUUUUGAGCUUGAAUUUAGUCCGACUUUAUGAAAUGACUUGAGAGGUGUAGUAUAAGUGGGAGUCGAAAGGCGAAAGUGAAAUACCAAUACUUUAAACGUUAUUUUACUUAUUCCGUGAAUCGGAAGAGGGGGACUACCCUCUUUUUGGACCCAAGACUCACUUUGCUGGUCAAUCCGGGGGGACGACAUUGUCAAGUGGGGAGUUUGGCUGGGGUGACACAUCUGUUAUAAGAUAACGCAAGUGUCCUAAGAUGAGCUCAACGAAAAUAGAAAAAUCGUGUGGAUCAGAAGGACAAAACCUCGUUUGAUUCGGAUUUCCAGUACGAAUACGAACCGUGAAUGCGUGGCCUAACGAUCUUUUAGACCUUCAGAGUUCUAAGCUGGAGGUGUCAGAAAAGUUACCACAAGGAUAACUAGCUUGUGGGAACCAAGCUAUAUAGCGAAAUUUAUUUUUGAUCCUACGAUGUCGGCUCUUCUUAUCAUUGUGAAGCAAAAUUCACCAAGUGUUGGAUUGUUAACCCACAAAUAGGGAACGUGAGCUGGGUUUAGACCAUCGUGAGAGAGGUUAGUUUUACCCUACUGAUGACAGUGUCGCAAUAGUAAUUAAACCUAGUAAGAGAGGAACCGUUAAUUCGCAUAAUUUGUAAUCCCGCUUGGUUGAAAAGCUGGUGGCACGAAGCUACCGUGUGCUGGAUUAUGACUGAACGCCUCUAAGUCUGAAUUCAGGCAAGAAGCGAAGCUUGCGCUCGCCGU
rnacentral:rRNA from 1 species